rnacentral:rRNA from 1 species
ACGGGUGAGUAACACGUGGAUAACCUACCUAUAAGACUGGGAUAACUUCGGGAAACCGGAGCUAAUACCAGAUAACAUGUUGAACCGCAUGGUUCAACAGUGAUAGACGGUCUUGCUGUCACUUAUAGAUGGAUCCGCGCCGCAUUAGCUAGUUGGUAAGGUAACGGCUUACCAAGGCAACGAUGCGUAGCCGACCUGAGAGGGUGAUCGGCCACACUGGAACUGAGACACGGUCCAGACUCCUACGGGAGGCAGCAGUAGGGAAUCUUCCGCAAUGGGCGAAAGCCUGACGGAGCAACGCCGCGUGAGUGAUGAAGGUCUUCGGAUCGUAAAACUCUGUUAUUAGGGAAGAACAAAUGUGUAAGUAACUAUGCACGUCUUGACGGCACCUAAUCAGAAAGCCACGGCUAACUACGUGCCAGCAGCCGCGGUAAUACGUAGGUGGCAAGCGUUAUCCGGAAUUAUUGGGCGUAAAGCGCGCGUAGGCGGUUUUUUAAGUCUGAUGUGAAAGCCCACGGCUCAACCGUGGAGGGUCAUUGGAAACUGGAAAACUUGAGUGCAGAAGAGGAAAGUG